rnacentral:rRNA from 1 species
UACGUAGGCAGCGAGCGUUGUUCGGAAUUACUGGGCGUAAAGAGUGUGUAGGCGGUGCUCCCAGUCUGUUGUGAAAUCUCCCGGCUUAACUGGGAGGGUGCAGCGGAAACUAGAGUGCUAGAGGGUGGGAGAGGUAAGCGGAAUUCCUGGUGUAGCGGUGAAAUGCGUAGAUAUCAGGAGGAACACCUGUGGUGUAGACAGCUUACUGGACCACUUCUGACGCUGAGGACGAAAGCGUGGGGAGCAAACAGG